GACGAACGCUGGCGGCGUGCUUAACACAUGCAAGUCGAACGCUGAAGCACCAGCUUGCUGGUGUGGAUGAGUGGCGAACGGGUGAGUAAUACGUGAGUAACCUGCCCUUGACUCUGGGAUAAGCCCGGGAAACUGGGUCUAAUACUGGAUGCUACAUGUCACCGCAUGGUGGUGUGUGGAAAGGGUUUACUGGUCUUGGAUGGGCUCACGGCCUAUCAGCUUGUUGGGGAGGUAAUGGCUCACCAAGGCGACGACGGGUAGCCGGCCUGAGAGGGUGACCGGCCACACUGGGACUGAGACACGGCCCAGACUCCUACGGGAGGCAGCAGUGGGGAAUAUUGCACAAUGGGCGAAAGCCUGAUGCAGCGACGCCGCGUGAGGGAUGACGGCCUUCGGGUUGUAAACCUCUUUCAGCAGGGAAGAAGCCACAAGUGACGGUACCUGCAGAAGAAGCGCCGGCUAACUACGUG
rnacentral:rRNA from 1 species